CAGAGAUGUGAAGUUUGACAAAAAAGUUAUAUGAAGCUAGCAUAAAGUUGGAGAAAUCGAAGAAGAAGUACAAGCAAAAAUAAAAGUUUAGAAGGCUACACCAACUUCUUCAUCUUCAUCAACACCCUCAUCAUCAUCACCCUCUUCGCCAUCACCUUCAUCAUCAUCAUCUACAUCCUCAGAAUUUUCUUCAAAAGAAAGACCCC
rnacentral:lncRNA from 1 species